rnacentral:lncRNA from 1 species
UGUUACGCACAAGAAUAGCAAAUGAUUCCUGCCCCUGGCCAUUCCCUCUAGCUUGAGACAUUCACCUCUCUCCCUUUUCAGUAACCAUCACCACAAGUAGUAAAGUCCCUGGCUAGACUCUGUGUACGCACAUGUUCUAACAGUACAAGACAGCUGUCACAGCCUUCCAAAGACACAGGUGGAACUCAGCCAGUCCAGUUCGAGACCAGCCUGGCCAACGUGGUAAAACCCCGUCUCUACUAAAAAUACAAAAAUCAGCCUGGCGUGGUGGCACAUGCCUGUAAUCCCAGCUACUCAGGGGGCUGAGGCAGGGGAAUCACUUGAACCCGGGAGGCAGGCAGAGGUUGCAGUGAGCGGAGAGCACUUGGUUUAAAAUAUUAGUUGAAUGAAUGGCCUAAGGAAGAACAAGAACAUUGGAUUGUGUGCUGUAUUAAUUUCCCAGAGCUGCUGCAAUAAAGUACCACAAAAGGUGUAGCUUUAGCCAAAGCUAGCAGACUGGUGGGUUUCCAGGCUCAGGCAUUUAUCACUCCUGUGACGCUGCUUCCUAACCUACAGAACAGUUACUAAACUUACGAAAUUUCCACACAUUGGGAAUACAUGCGAGGACUAAAAAUGUGACGGAUAGGCCGGGCGUGGUGGCUCACGCCUGUAAUCCCAGCACUUUGGGAGGCCAAGGCGGGCGGAUCACGAGGUCAGGAGAUCAGACCAUCCUGGCUGACAAGGUGAAACCCCGCCUCUACUAAAAAUACAAAAAAAAAUUAGCCGGGCGUGGUAGCGGACGCCAUAGUCCCAGCUACUCGGGAGACUGAGGCAGGAGAAUGGCGUGAACCCGGGAUGCGGAGCUGGCAGUGAGCCGAGAUCGUGCCUCUGCACUCCAGCCUGGGCAACUGAGCAAGACUCCGUCUCAAAAAAAAAAAAUGUUAUGGAUAAAAUAGCUGAAAUGUUUCGAAGGCUAAAUUCGUGUGUGUGUGUGUGUGUGUGUGUGUGUGUUGAGAAGGAGUCUCGCUCUGUCUCCCAGGCUUCAGUGCAGUGGCGUGAUCUCGGCUCACCGCAUCCUCCACCUCCCAGGUUCAGGUGAUUCUCCUGCCUCAGCCUCGGGAGUAGCUGAGAUUAUACGUGCCCACCACCAUGCCUGGCUAAUUUUUGUAUUUUUAGUAGAGAUGGGGUUUCACCAUGUUGGCCAGGCUGAUCUGAAGCUCCUGACCUCAGGUGAUUCGCCUGCCUCGGCCUCCCAAAGUGUUGGAAUUACAGGUGUGAGCCACCAUGCCCAGCCUAAAUUCAGAUUUUGAAAGUCAUCAGAGAGGAUAACCAUAUCCUUCCAGAAAAUACCCCCCUGUGCCAUAGCCAAAGAGGAAACCCAGCAAAGGGUAAUAUUUAUUAUGUUCUCGAGCUUUGAAAACUUCAAAAAGCAUUCAUUUAGAGAAAGUUAGUUUCCAACAGACUAGACAGACAAUUAAAAUCAAGCUGGUUUCCCCCUUGGUCCCUUCACUCAAUAAACCCUGUUAGCCUCUGGAGCCAAUGCUAUUAGCCUGGAAUGCGGUGGGGGGCGCUCUUAGCUGCUGUCUCAUGUGCUGUUUUCAAAGACUUCUCCGUGAGGAACAUCAAUGGUUUCCUUCUGUUGCCCUGGCUAACUAAGUGGAACACCCUCUUAGCAACAAAAAGGGGAGAUUUGCUAGCACCUUCACUAUAUGCAGCAAAUAUCAUCUCCCAGUAAUAGUCCUAGGUAAUUAAACUUUUAUUUUUCCCAUGAUUUAUCGUCUGGGAAAUACUAACUCUGUUAAACUUCGGACUUUACAUAUAAAAUGUAAAAUUUUUUUCAGUUUGGAUAAAGUUCUGUUAUAAGUAACUGAAAAUCAAGCAGAGACAUACACAAGUUAGAGGUUUAUUUCUCUCUCCAGUAAACCUGGGAAGUUCAUGGUGGCCCAGUUCACUAGGACUUGGACUUCUUUUAUUUUGUAACUCCAUCAUCCUCACCUGUGGCUUCUGCCUUUUAGUCCAAAAUGGCUGUUUCAGAUCUAGUGAUAUCAUCACAUUCCAGCCAGCAAGAAAGAAAAGAAGGCAAGAAAGUGAUAGCCCUCUUCUUUUAAGGACCCUUCUGGAAGUUGUAUAUACAACUUGUACAUAUUGGCCAGUAGGCCACCUGAGAAGACUGAGGGCCUCAGUUCUUUCCUAGCUGUUGGCUGGAGGUUGCACACAGUUUCUCAUUACAUGGCUUUUUCAAUAUGGCAGAUUGCUUUAUGAAAACAAUAUUCAGCAAGACCCAAGCUUCAAGGGGGGAUGAGAAAUGUAAUAUUUGCUCUCAGUUUCUGUGGUAGCCAUGAAAUUAUGCCUCUCAGAUGUCCGACUAAGGAAACGUAAUUGUCUGAAGGCCCCAGCUGCUGUCCUCUGGAAAGGCUGAGGGAGGAGGGUUGCUUGACUUAGGAAGUCAAGGCUGCAGUGAGUUAUGAUCGCGCCACUGCACUCCAUCCAACCUGCUUGACAGAGCAAGACCCCAUCUCUAAAUAAAUUUUUAAAAAUACAAUCCGCCAGGCACAGUGGCUCACUCCUGUAAUCCCAGCACUUUGGGAGGCCGAGGCAGGCGGAUCAUGAGGUCAGGAGAUAGAGACCAUCCUGACCAACAUGGUGAAACCCUGUCUCUAGUAAAAAUACAAAAAUUAGCUGGGUAUGGUGGCACACGCUUGUAGUCCCAGCUAUUCGGGAGGCAGAGGCAGGAGAAUCACUUGAACCCGGGAGGAAAAUAUUGCAAGGAGCAGAGAUCGCGCCACUGCACUCCAGCCUGGCGACAGGGCAAGACUCUGUCUCAAAAACAAACAAACGAAAAACCAAUCUACUCCAAAAAUACUAUUUAAAUAACAGAAAAAGCCUGUUUCUAUUUCUGUCAAUGUAUGUGUAUUGCAUGUAUGUUACAAAUAAUCCUUUUCCUAACUUAGAACUUAUAUUUCUACAGGGUGAGGGCUUAUGUAUAAAACCAAUAUAAAAUAAUGAAGAGGAGAGAUACCAAAUCUUACAUCUUUUCCUUGUACAACCUGAAGACAUGCCUCAGACCCAAUAAUUUUUUAUAUUGCAAUUUUCAUUUUAAUUCCUUAAUUUUGUACUAAUUUUCCAAAAUGUUUGGUAGAUUUCCCUCAAUAUGCUAAGAGGUCAGCUUAAGAGAAUGGGCAGGGGGUCUUGGAAACUCAGAUAAGGGCCUUGACACUUAUUUUGGGCAAAGCUAACACUGAGUCACAGGGUUGUUCCAAUGAAUUAUUUUCCCUGUUGCCUCAGAUGAGAAAAAUUCACUCUGAUUUUAUUUCUUAUUCUUGUGUCUGCUUUAUCAUCACAGUUAAUAUAAAAUAUGCCAAUAAAUACUCUAUCUAAACAAUAAGUCUUCUCAUUUCCUUUUUGCGCCACACAGAACUUGCAGAAAAUGGGGAAAACGGGGCUACCUUUUCUUAAACCAGUUUGCCCAGGAAGCCCAUGCUGUGUAGUUCACAAUUUCAGCCAGGAGGUGGCGGUAGUAACCAAUGGCAAAAUCCUGAGACACUGCCUCUAUCAGCUUCUCAUUGUCCUGCGGACGCUUCCUGGAUCUAAUCUGAUGCUUAUGAAAGUGAUUUCCUUCUUUCGAAAACACCAGGCCCAAACAAAAACUAACUUCAUCCUGCAGAUAAAAACUGUAUGUGCCUUACAAGUUGUCAGACUCCUCCAGACCUUCAAUCAAUAUUUUCCCAGCAGCAAAAUGCAGCUGCACAUUUUAGGAAGCAGAGUGGGCAAAUUCCUUCUGCGGAAGCCCAUGAACCAUCAGGCCUCCCCCUCAGGGUGGCAGGAAGGUGUGGAAAGGGGGACUAAGCAAUCCAAGCUGCUAGACAAUCCGAGCUCCAGGGAGGCCAAGCACAUUCCCCCAGUUUGUGCAGGAAACAGCAGGGAACUGAAAAAAGGGUUCUGUUGAGAUGAGACUGAUGUUCCCAAGUCCUGAGUCCUCAAACCGAAUCACUUUCCGGCAGCAACACCUGUCUUUAGCAUGCAAACAUCGGUCUCAUAGAGUCUUCCCUGAAAGAUGUUUAAUGAUCAUGUCAUUACUGUCACUCUUUUUUUUUUUUUUGAGAGUGAGUUUUGCUCUUGUUGCCCAGACUGGAGUGCAAUGGAGCGAUAUCAGCUCACCCCAACUUCUGCCUCCCAGGUUCAAGCGAUUCUCCUGCCUCAGCCUCCCGGGUAGCUGGGGUUACAGGCAUGUGCCACCACGCCUGGCUAAUUUUGUAUUUUUAGUAGAGACGGGGUUUCUCCAUGUUGGUCAGGCUGGUCUCAAACUCCCAACUUCAGGUGAUCUGCCUGCCUCGGCCUCCCAAAGUGCUGGGAUUACAGGCGUGAGCCACUGCGCCCAGCCACUGCCACCUUUUAAACUACAGAAGAUGAGUGUGCCUGCUCAGACAAUGAAGGACUCUGAGGGAUUUGGAGAGCCACAAGGAGUCCAGACCUUAACCUGAGGGCAACAGCACCAUUAAAAGUUUCUAAGACAAGGAGGAACACGGCUCCACCAAUUUACAAUGGCUAAGAAGAAAAUAAGCUCGUCGGAAGGCAGGAAGUUGAGUCAAUUUUCUAUCCAUGAAUCUCAGCAUUAGGUUGUUUUUAUUGAACUUCUGAUAGUACAUCUUGAAGAAUGCUAAGGAAAAGUCUAGAAAGGUGCUCUUAGUCUCCUUUCUCUACUGCAGAAGCCCUUUGUGAUCUCCAGGGGAAGCAGCCCCCGUUUCCAUAUGGUCCCAGGGAGACGAACGACGGCAGAACAUUUCAUGUGCUGUGGAGGCACCUAGCUUCAGAAUGUGAAAAAGUAACCAGAGCUCUCAAACCUCCCUUUCCUCAUGUGUUAAAUAGGGAUAAUAGUCCUUACGUCAGGGUUGUUG